GGCCGGAUGGUGUAGUUGGUUAUCACGUUUCCUUUACACGGAAAAGGUCGGGGGUUCGAACCCCCCUCUAGUCA
rnacentral:tRNA from 1 species